UGGCAUAUAUUAUUAUAUAUAUAUGUGUGUGUGUGUAUAUAUAUAACGUGUUUUAAUUGAUGAAUAGACAAUGAAUGGCUGAGGCCCAGGAAUUGACUUUGAUUUGUAAUACUAAAGAUUGUUGUUCUUUUUUUCCAGGUGGCACCAUGCAGCUUUCGGUAAUCUUCACGGCAUUAAAAUGUUAAAAUAGUGUAGAAUCCAGACCAAAAUGCCUAAAGGUAGGAGGAACUUGUGUAUUGCUUUGUGAUGGUUUAGCAGUUAGCGCCCUAAGAGUCUGCUAGUGAUCCCGGACUACUUAAUUAGAUAUUGGCCUGUUUUUGUCAAAUUUUACACUCUAAGUAAACCAUUGUUUCCAAAUGA